rnacentral:rRNA from 1 species
GACGAACGCUGGCGGCGCGCUUAACACAUGCAAGUCGAGCGGGAACCGGGCCUUCGGGCCCGGGGACAGCGGCGAACGGGUGAGUAACACGUGGGUAAUCUGCCCUCGGUACUGGGAUAGCCCGGGGAAACCCGGAUUAAUACCGGAUAGCCCUUCGAGCCUUCGGGCUCGCAGGAAAAGGUAGCUUCGGCCUCCGACCGAGGAUGAGCCCGCGGCGGAUUAGCUUGUUGGUGGGGUAACGGCCUACCAAGGCGACGAUCCGUAGCUGGUCUGAGAGGACGAUCAGCCACACUGGGACUGAGACACGGCCCAGACUCCUACGGGAGGCAGCAGUGGGGAAUCUUGCCCAAUGGGCGAAAGCCUGAGGCAGCGACGCCGCGUGCGGGAAGAAGGCCCUCGGGUUGUAAACCGCUUUCAGGAGGGACGAAGCCACUCGGGUUAAUAGCCUAGAGGGUGACGGUACCUCCAGAAGAAGCCCCGGCUCACUACGUGCCAGCCGCCGCGGUAAAAC